CACAUACUCCCUCCGUCCGGAAAUACUUGUCGGAGAAAUGAAUGUAUCUAGACACAUUCUAGUUUUAGAUAUAUCCAUUUUUAUCCAUUUCUCUGACAAGUAUUUUCGGACGGAGGGAGUACAUG
rfam:Triticum aestivum genome assembly, contig: Triticum_aestivum_CS42_TGACv1_scaffold_435254_5DL